GUCCUGGUCGAAUGGACGUCCACAUUCACAUGUCGUAUUGCACUCCACAUGCGUUUAGGGUCUUGGCCUCCAACUACCUUGGCAUUCAAGACUUGAAUCAUCAUGGCCUUUACGGAGAAAUCACAGGCUUGCUAGAGAGCACAGAGGUCACCCCUGCUGAGGUCUGUGAGCAACUGUUGAAGAGAGAUGAUGAUGUUGACGACGAUGAUGCUGAUGCUGCUCUUGCUGGACUUGUCAACUUUCUCAAACUCAAGAAGCUUGAAGAGACUAAUAAUAUUGAUAAACCAGAAACUCAAGAAGGAUCUCAAUGUUAAUGAUGAUGACGGUGACAACUCCUCCACCUAGCAUGAGCUAGGGCAGUAGAAUAAGUUGGUGUCAUUUGUCCCAUCUGAUUAUGAAGUAAUGUAUGGUUAUAUUCAGACUCUUCCCUUUUUUUUCUUUCUUAAUUAUAGCGUACCUACCAAAGUAGAGAAAUUAUGUGGAAAAAGACCUGCAAACAGAGACCUUGACUUUUGGUCAACAAGGAAGGCAAAGAGAAGCGACCACCAGCAUUUGAUGGAAAUUUCUGUUCUUAUACGACUUCUAACAAGUCUCGUUGACUUAGGGUCCCUUUUUGGGGUUGACACGUAAUUGUGACCAUAAGGAAAAUUCUACCAUGUUGCAUUUUCUGAAACGAAAUCCAUACCAAAUGAUCUUUCUGAACCUCUUAACUAUACCUCUGCAGAAGUCUUGGCAAUCUUGCUCUGAUCAAACAUGAUCCAAUGGUGUGCAGAGAAAAUUACAAAAGUGACAAACGUAAUAAGUUUCACUUCCCCCUGGCUCAAUUCUACUUUUUUCUUACAUCCUUAAUCAACCAAUGCAAAUAUAUUCCAUUCCUUAUCAGUUGUCCCAUUAAUAUAUUUAUGAAAUACCAUAUCAGUUUGCAAACAUUUUUAGAUUUGGUUGAGCUUGAGACAUGGUUGUUCAAGGGAAUAAGGGGAUUGAGAAUUGUUGAUUUUCAAGUAGGAGUUGGAGACGGUGUUGUUCAACCUCACAACUUAAUAAGCAUAUAUACUUCCACAAUCAACGCCACCUCACUCGAUCAACACUUGAUUUCGUUGAAUUAAACUAAUUUCUCUUGUAUUAAGAUACCAAGUUGACAACUCCUAAAUUAUCUUCUAAGUUUAUUGCCCUGCUAGCACUUGGUAUCGAUUCGAAGUUGCUAGGCUAGUUUAUUUUCCUAAAAUCGGUUCAUCAGUCUGUCAAUUCCUCACUUACUUUCUAUGUAAGUUAUUGUUUAUAAUUAAUUGAAUCGAGAAAUCUUCUGUUUAUUUGUGAAUUUUUAUUUUUAGAAAAAUUCCAUGUAUGAGGUUAAGUGCAUCUCUUAAUUAGAACAUCUAUAGUGGGGUGAUGUAUAAUAGGAUGUAUGUUAAAUAUACACCCGUUAUGAUCGGAAUUACUCGUAAUAAGGGUGUAAAUAAAUGUAUAAUUACAUCACCACCAUGAGAUGUAAAUUUAGAUGCAAUUGUACAUAUUUUUUUACAUUCCCAUUGCGGAUGGAACCCAACUGAAAAAAAAAGAGGAAAAAUAGAGAAAAGUCAGAAUAAAAAGGUGGGACCCAGCUAACAACAAUGGUGCAUGCAACGGUAUGGCUCGAUUUUGUCCUCAUCCCAUUUCUUCCUUUUUUUAAUUCAACUUGUUUCCACGGUCUCUCCCAUCUCUCUACUUUUGAUAUUUAUUUAUAAUUUCAUAUAUAUAUAUAUAUAUAUAAUUAAAUUAAUAAUUUACUUACUUUCCAACCUUAAGACGGAGACUCGGUAUAGAGAAAUUAUUGUAUGAUAUCGUAUCAUCACUUCAAUUGAUGAUACUUCCGUUUAUCUUUCAUAGAAGAUUAUAACCUUUUUUUUAAAGCAUAAUUAAAAACAUCAAUUUCACCUUUUUGAAUAAACUUUUUUAAAAAGCUUUAAUUGUUUUAGAAAAUGACAUAUUGCACAUUUUUAGAUUAAAUGUACUUUACAAUCCAACGAUUCUUUUUUAAUGAAAUUAUAUUUUCUCCAAAUUCAAAUAUUUUUAGGUCUAUUUGUUUGAAAAAAUAAAAUUAACCUAAUACAAAAAAAAAAUUAAUUUUAUAAAGUAAACACAAAAUAUAAAUUUAACACAAAAACAAAUUAAGACAAACAAAUCAAUUAUACAUCUUUAGAUUUACUUCGUUUUUUAUUGGAGAAAAAAACGUAUUUACACUUCCCGAAUGUGUAAAGGAGAUAUAAAAGUGUCUUUACACCCCCGAAAAUACACCUCCUACUGUAGAAGCUCUUAGGUAUUUGAUAAUUUUUUGAUUUUGUGUUAUGUUGACAUUUGCAGUUCACACUCUCGGGCCUACUAAACUUCAUGGAUGGUCUGUGGUCAAGUUGCGGUGAUGAAAGAAUUAUUGUGUUCACAACAAACCACAAGGAUGACGAUGAUGAUGCUGCUCUUGUAAGAGUUGUCAAGGUCACCCCUGCUGAGAUUUGUGAGGAAGUACUGAAGAAAAAUGACGAGGACGAGGACGACGAUGAUGAUGCUGCUCUCGAAAGAGUUGUCGACCUUCUCAAACUUGAGAAGCUUGAAGGGACUAAUAAUAUUGAAAAGACAGAAAUGCAAGCAGAAAAAAGGCAGGAAAAUGGAUCUCAGGUGAAUGAUGAAAGUGACAACUCAUGCAUCCAACAUGAGCUAUAGCGAUCCCCUUUUAGAUAAGUCUUUUUGUUAUUAGUACUUUUGUAGGAAAAGAAAUCUGGAUGUCAAGUACUCUAAUCCCAGUUUUGUUUGGUGUCCUGUCAGGUGUUGUCCUAUUAUCCUAUCUGAUUAUGAUGUAAUCACUUUGGUUAUAUCGAUAAAUAAAGUAAGUAAUGGUAUGGUUAGUUCAAAUUCUAUUCAAACUCUAAUAUUAUUUUCUUUCACGAAUGUGCGCUAGCAACAUAUAUACAUAAGGUGGUGUGGUGUUUUUGUUGUUAAGAGGUAGAAAGAAAAUUUACUCGCACACACACAAGUGCCUAGAAAUUUCGAAUAUGAGAUGAUUGGUCUUAAGUCAAACAUACUUUUUCACUACGGUAUGAUCCUAUUAGCUUCAUACUCUCUUGUUUCACUCUAGAGUGCAAGUGGCUACUUUUGAAAUGAAAUAAUUAACAACAGUUACUUUCUUAAUUAUAUCAUAGUUUACUUACCAAAGUGGAGAAGAUUUAUAUUUUUUGUUGUACUUCUUCAUAGGUUUUGAAUUUUGAUGCAACCAGAAGCUUUUUGUGUGUGUUGUUGCAUGUGAAUGGCGGGAAAAGAAUGGCAACUGUGUGAAAUUGAUCAAGUUAAGAUCAAUCCGGUAUGAUUGAAAACAUCAAAGCCAUCAAAUUAGUCAUGGUCUGCUCUAGGUUUCUUUAUUCAUUUUGGCCUCAAAUAUUAAAUACAUGUGUUUAAAAAGCAAUAACAAUCUAAUCAAAUAACUCACCCAACCCAACUCCUACGUUCAACGUAUAGUCCUAACACAAUCAAAUGUUUUAUUGAAUAUUUAUCCAGAGACUUACCUAUAAACUAGGUCACCUAGCACACUAAAAAAAAAAACCACGUACAGUAAAAAAAAGAUAUCUAGCAUAAGGAGAAAUUCGACCAAAACAAAAAAAAAUAGCAUAAGGAGAAAAAAGAGGGACUAUUGUCAACUAAACGACAAUAACCUACACAAAACACAAUGCACGCGGUUUUGACUGGUGGUGUACAAGUAGACUUCUUUGUCGAUCUUGCCAUGUGCAAUUGUCUGUGGCUGUGGUUUCACUAGUACUGUAUAUGAAUUUACCCCCCAAGUAACAAACCUCAAAUAUAUAUCCCCAAAUUUGAUUAAAAAAUCCCCCAACAAGAACAUCUCCUUCUUCUUCUUCUUCUUCUUCUUCUUCUUCUCAACCUCUGCCUUGCUUACCUUGCAUCCAUCCAUCCGCCAUGAAUUUCAUCGUGGAGGAACUCAUGCUUUUCAUUUCCACUGCCCUCAAUUACCUUGCUACCCUUUUCUCCCCUGGCCAUUAUCAUCAUGACCUCACUUUCAUCAUCCGCCAGAAGAGCACGCCACCCAACCAAGUCUACGACGCCGCCGAGCUCUACCUCCCAUCCAUCGAGUUGAUCAAUCCCUCCACUCGUACUAUCGGCGUCAGCAAAACACCGCGGCAAGAAGCCGUCAAGCUUGCCAUGGAAAGCGGUGAGCAGAUCGCCGACACCUUUGAGGACAUUAACCUCAACUGGCUCUACGUGGUCCAAACAUUCCCGAGCGGCCAGGUAACACGUCGCUUCGAGCUAACCUUCCACAAGAAACACAAAGACAAAGUCCUGACCUCCUACUUGCGCCAUGUGGUUACUCGGGCUGAAGCCAUUAAAAAAGAGGAAAAGAUUCUCAAACUUCGUAGCGUUAACUCACCAUCACGAGUGGAUCUGGAGCACCCAGCCACGUUCGAGACGAUCGCCAUGGGGCCCGACCAGAAGACAAAGAUUAUAAAGGACUUGGACAGGUUUGUGAGGAGGAGGGAGUUUUAUAAGAAGGUGGGCAAGGCUUGGAAAAGAGGCUACUUAUUGUAUGGCCCUCCUGGGACUGGCAAAUCCAGCUUGAUUGCAGCCAUGGCUAAUCAUCUCAAGUUUGACGUGUAUGAAUUGGAGCUUGAUGGUAUUUACAGUGACUCUCAAUUGAAGAGCGUGUUACUGUCCACUGCAAAUCGUUCUAUUUUGGUCAUUGAGGAUAUUGAUUUCAGCGCCGUUAAUGCGCGAAAACGAAAGUGCGGGGUUAGUACCUACCUAUACCUACCUAAAUUUUUCUGUGAAUUAGGUGUUCGAUAAUUUUUGGUUUAUUUUUUGGUGUAACAUAGUAAAAAUUUAAUUACUAUGCUGAUAUUUGCAGAUCACGGUCUCAGGCCUGCUAAACUUCAUGGAUGGUCUGUGGUCGAGCUGCGGUGACGAGAGAAUUAUUGUGUUCACAACAAACCACAAGGAUCGGCUUGAGCCUGCAUUACUGCGUCCUGGUCGAAUGGACGUCCACAUUCACAUGUCCUAUUGCACUCCGCAUGCGUUUAAGGUUUUGGCCUCCAACUACCUUGGUGUUCAGGACUUGGACCGUCAUCCUCUUUAUGGAGAAAUCGCGGGGUUGCUAGAGAGCACAGAGGUCGCCCCUGCUGAGGUUUGUGAGGAGCUAUUGAAGAGAGAUGAUGAUGUUGACGAUGAUGAUGUUGAUGCUGCUCUCGAAGGAGUUGUCAAAUUUCUCAAACUCAAGAAGCUUGAAGGGGAUAAUAAUAAUAUUGAUGAACCAGAAUUUCAAGAAGGAAAAAGGCAGGAUGUGGAUGUCAGUGUUAACGAUGACGACAGUGAGAGCUCAAGCACCUGAAAUAAUCGACCAUAGCUUUAUCUAGCUAGGCAGUAGAAUAAGUUGCAUCUUCCGAUGGCCUAGCUAGUCCCUUUGGCUUUAAGUACUUUUGUCUUUGAGUUUAAGUACUUUUGUAUUUGGUUUUGUUUGGUGUUAUGUUUCUC
rnacentral:lncRNA from 1 species